CUACGGGCGGCUGCAGUGGGGAAUAUUGCACAAUGGGCGCAAGCCUGAUGCAGCAACGCCGCGUGAGUGAAGAAGGCCUUCGGGUCGUAAAACUCUGUCCUAAGGGAAGAAUAAUGACGGUACCUUAGGAGGAAGCCCCGGCUAACUACGUGCCAGCAGCCGCGGUAAUACGUAGGGGGCAAGCGUUAUCCGGAAUCACUGGGCGUAAAGGGUGCGUAGGCGGCCUGUCAAGUCAGAAGUGAAAGGCUAUGGCUCAACCAUAGUAAGCUUUUGAAACUGAUGGGCUUGAAUACAGGAGAGGUAAGUGGAAUUCCUAGUGUAGCGGUGAAAUGCGUAGAGAUUAGGAGGAACACCAGUGGCGAAGGCGACUUACUGGACUGUUAUUGACGCUGAGGCACGAAAGCGUGGGGAGCGAACAGGAUUAGAUACCCCCGUAGUC
rnacentral:rRNA from 1 species